AGAAGACACUUCCGUCUUCACAAAAUACAAAUGGAGUGGCGUCGCAGGUUACUUUGCGGGAACUAAGAGUCAUUUCCUUGAAUUUAGAAGGUUGCUCUUCUGGGACAUGCAGGUUACUUUCAAACAACCUACAAGAGGAUAAAGCUGAACGAUGUUACAAUAAACAUUCCAGAGGGAGUCACCCACCCAUAAUUAGAGACUCAGGAGGCUGAGUAAGAUAGAUGACUGCAGUGUGUGUCAGUGGAGGUGGAGGGGGUCGUGCCGUUCCAGAGGCUGCUGGUUAAAUGCAGGUGGCUGGGUGUACGCGUCAGCUUUUAUCUCAGCUUUGAACACAGGUUUUUUGCUGAAGUGGAUUAAAACCGUUCCAAAUACAACAUGUUUGGACUGUUAGAAAGCAAAAGAUAAAGAGGGAUUUUAGCUUUCAAAGCCACAUGGAGUCCAAAUCAAUAAAAGAAUGGCUUUCAGUGAAAUAAAUCAAAGUUUUGGAAUGGCCUUUCCAAAGUCGAAACCUAAAUCCAAUGUACAAGGAGGAGCUGAAAGAAGACUAUUGACAAGAGAUGUUCACAGUCUGAUAGACUUGAAAAAUUUUGGAACGGCAAAAGAGCUAAAUAUUUCCAAGUCAAGAUGUCGGAUGCUGAUAGACAAAUCCAGAAAUUGAAUUUAAAGCUGGUUUAACAAAGUUAUCAGUUUAACUUUGUGCAUAGUUAUAUAACCGGACUGCUUUUGAUUUUUGUAAUGUUGCCUUUAUCAUAAUCUUUUUGUUUUUCUCCAUAAAAAUGUUAUACUUAACAGAGAUUUGUAAACUUUUUCCAUCCAUUGUCGUGUGAAAUGGAUGGACAAACCUCAAGUAUGUUUAGGUUCUGGUCCAACUGUGUCAUAAGCCACGCCCCCUUUUAAUGCUCAUUGAUUGGUCAGUCUGUGUGGGAGUUGUUUUGAUUCAUUCAGUUUUAAAUGCAAACUGUCUGAUGGGACAUAAACAGAGAAUUGUAAAAAUUAUUCAUAAUGAAGUCUUAAAACCACGUGCUUUUUGCUGUCCAUCUUAUCAUAUGUACUUUUUUUCAGUUUGCCAAUGAAUUGUUAGUUUUUUUGUGCUCUACAAUGCUACAAACAUAUCUAGAAAGAGACAAUAAUUCUACCUUUAAGAUAAUAAAGAGAGAAUAAGGA